rnacentral:misc_RNA from 1 species
AACGCACAUUGCGCCCCCUGGCAUUCCGGGGGGCAUGCCUGUCCGAGCGUCAUUGCUGCCCUCAAGCCCGGCUUGUGUGUUGGGCCGCCGUCCCCGCCCGCCGCGGGGGGACGGGCCCGAAAGGCAGCGGCGGCGCCGCGUCCGGUCCUCGAGCGUAUGGGGCUUCGUCACCCGCUCUUGCAGGCCCGGCCGGAGCCUCAGCCCGACCCCGCGUCAACAUCUUCCAGGUUGACCUCGGAUCAGGUAGGGAUACCCGCUGAACUUAA